CUACCAUUUGGGAAUAAAUGGUGAUGUUUGUUUUCCAUUCUUGGGAUUUUCAUCCGUCUUUAUCUUGAUUGCUCCUUCAAGGAUACUCUGCGGUUGGUCAGUGUUCCUCUUCAGAUGUGGUCCCACACAUUCAAGAUAUCAUCUGCAUGGAGUUAUGGGUCAAUUACAUCCUGAGUUUGCAACACGAGGCUCAUGUGACUCACCCUUUUUUUUCAGCAGUCACAUUACCCAUCUGUUCACAUGGGCUGUUUUUAAGCAAGAGCACCCUGGCCUGGAAUUUGAAGAGGAGACAUGGAAGAACAGAAUUCCUCCAGCUUCAGGAAGUCAUCAACGAUACUCUUUUGGACGGGGACCUUUGUGUGUUUUGAUCAUGGACGUCCUUCCAGUGCCUGGAGCACCUUUGUGGAACAAAGGAACAGCACGCAGAAAGCAUAGAGGAAGUUUACUUGGGGGGAGGGAAGGAUCCUGUCUUCUUCCUCUUUGUACUUCAUUGCCUGGUAGCCAAUAGGUGAUCAAUGCAAAAAUGAAC
rnacentral:lncRNA from 1 species